GAUGAACGCUGACAGAAUGCUUAACACAUGCAAGUCUACUUGAACUUCGGUUUGGGUGGCGGACGGGUGAGUAACGCGUAAAGAACUUGCCUCACAGUUAGGGACAACAUUUGGAAACGAAUGCUAAUACCUGAUAUUAUGAUUUUAAGGCAUCCUAGGAUUAUGAAAGCUAUAUGUGCUGUGAGAGAGCUUUGCGUCCCAUUAGCUAGUUGGAGAGGUAACGGCUCACCAAGGCGAUGAUGGGUAGCCGGCCUGAGAGGGUGAACGGCCACAAGGGGACUGAGACACGGCCCUUACUCCUACGGGAGGCAGCAGUGGGGAAUAUUGGACAAUGGACCAAAAGUCUGAUCCAGCAAUUCUGUGUGCACGAUGACGUUUUUCGGAAUGUAAAGUGCUUUCAGUUGGGAAGAAAAAAAUGACGGUACCAACAGAAGAAGUGACGGCUAAAUACGUG
rnacentral:rRNA from 1 species